UACGGGGGGAGCAAGCGUUGUUCGGAUUUACUGGGCGUAAAGGGCGCGUAGGCGGUCACGACAAGUCAGUUGUGAAAUCUCCGGGCUUAACUCGGAACGGUCAACUGAUACUGUCGGACUAGAGUGCAGAAGGGGCAACUGGAAUUCUCGGUGUAGCGGUGAAAUGCGUAGAUAUCAGGAGGAACACCCAUGGCGAAGGCAGCAUACUGGCCGACCACUGACGCUGAGGCGCGAAAGCGUGGGUAGCAAACAGG
rnacentral:rRNA from 1 species